CUUAGUGCUGCAGCUAACGCAUUAAGCACUCCGCCUGGGGAGUACGGUCGCAAGACUGAAACUCAAAGGAAUUGACGGGGGCCCGCACAAGCGGUGGAGCAUGUGGUUUAAUUCGAAGCAACGCGAAGAACCUUACCAGGUCUUGACAUCCUCUGACAACCCUAGAGAUAGGGCUUUCCCUUCGGGGACAGAGUGACAGGUGGUGCAUGGUUGUCGUCAGCUCGUGUCGUGAGAUGUUGGGUUAAGUCCCGCAACGAGCGCAACCCUUGAUCUUAGUUGCCAGCAUUCAGUUGGGCACUCUAAGGUGACUGCCGGUGACAAACCGGAGGAAGGUGGGGAUGACGUCAAAUCAUCAUGCCCCUUAUGACCUGGGCUACACACGUGCUACAAUGGACAGAACAAAGGGCUGCGAGACCGCAAGGUUUAGCCAAUCCCACAAAUCUGUUCUCAGUUCGGAUCGCAGUCUGCAACUCGACUGCGUGAAGCUGGAAUCGCUAGUAAUCGCGGAUCAGCAU
rnacentral:rRNA from 1 species